rnacentral:rRNA from 1 species
GUCUACGGCCACACCACCCUGAACGCGCCCGAUCUCGUCUGAUCUCGGAAGCUAAGCAGGGUCGGGCCUGGUUAGUACUUGGAAGGGAGAAAAACAAAAACUAAUAAAACCAAAGGACAGGCUGAGUGUGGUGGCUC